CCCUUAGAUGUUCUGGGCCGCACGCGCGCUACACUGACGAAUGCAACGAGCUUAUAACCUUGGCCGAAAGGUCUGGGUAAUCUCCAAAUUUCGUCGUGAUGGGGAUAGAUUAUUGCAAUUAUUAAUCUUCAACGAGGAAUGCCUAGUAAGCGCAAGUCAUCAGCUUGCGUUGAUUACGUCCCUGCCCUUUGUACACACCGCCCGUCGCUCCUACCGAUUGAGUGAUCCGGUGAGGCUCUGGGACCUGGACGGAAAGAGCGUUUCGCUUGUUCUGUUUGGGAAACUUGGUCGAACCUUAUCAUUUAGAGGAAGGAGAAGUCGUAACA
rnacentral:rRNA from 1 species